GGGGAUAUGGCUCAGUGAUAGAGAGCAUGCCUAACAUGCAUGAGGCCCUGAAUUCAACCCCCAGUACCCA
rnacentral:tRNA from 1 species